AAUAUAAGAUUCUGUUGGAACAAAAAAAAUAAUUCCUCUUCAUUCCCUUCCUGAAGAGUUCAAGCUGGCAUCAUUUGCAGCAUGAAAUCCUGGCUCAGGAUUUGCACGUUCAAGAGAAAAAUGUGAAACAAUCCCCCUGCCUCUGAUACACAGCUCACUUUUGAAGGAAGCAUGUACUUGUUUCAGAUCCUGAUACCUGGGAUAUUUCUUAAAUCUUUGCCUGGAGUUGUAGAUGACAGGUCACCUUGCAGAGCAGAUGCCUUGCAGCAGAAGAAUUAGGAGACCAGGGCUGAGUGAUACUGGCAUGUGUCAUGUUCUGAUCUUACUGAGGAGGAAACGAGCCCUGCCUUCCUGUGCCAGUGCUGUGGCAGAAAUACAGACGUGGUGAUUCAUGCCACUGAACAAGUCCUGACAUGAAGAAUUCCCCCUAGUAGCAAAGGAGGUGGUUCAUCUAUUGGAUUUCAACUCCUGGAGCCAAGUAUUCCUGAAAUAAAUCCUGCCAGCUGCUCCUCAGCAUCAUGAGAUAAGAUACUGCAGGAGGCAAAUUCUGCUUAGGGGUUGGCUGGCCUAGUUCAGAUAUUGAAAAAAAUGAGGGAGAAUCCUGGGCCUCUAAGGAUUGCAGUGGCUGCUUAACCUUAGUCCUGUUCCAUUCACCUUUGCCAUUGCUUAAAGCUUCUGUAACGUCAGCAGCAAGCACAGCUGUGGAAAAUAUCACAGAGACAAGAAACAAGAUGCUAGAACUGGGCUGUGAUUGAUGAUAAAAAGCCACAGCAGCAGCAAAUCAGGUAACCUGACACAAAUUUACUCUGGAAGCCAACAAGCAAAUAAAGACAGAUCAGGUGGGUCCAGCUGCUGACAUGCAGCAAAGCUUGAACCAAGUAUAGGAAAAAUUAUUAUGCCCAAGCUUUCUGAACUUUGCUUGUCUGGGAGUCUUAACAUGCACUGUGGUCUUACACUGGGCUCAGGGCUCUUGGAAAGCCUCAGGUCAAGCAGUGUUUGACAGCACUGCUCCUUGGAUGGGGAUGCUGCUCCUCACCCUGGGAGCUGUGCUCUGCCUGAGCUUUGCCUCUCCUUGAAAGCCUCUCCUUCUCUCUGAAACUCUGCUGAGUGUUUGUGCUGCCAGCUUUGUGUAUGUCAAAAUACCUGUAAAAAGUGCAUGUGGAUGCAGUGAGGAGACUCCGAAAUAUCCCAUUUUCUGCAUAAUUUUAAGGUAAUGAAUUAGGGGUAAAAUCUACAUGGAUAGUACUGCAAGUUAAACAAUUGUUGCCUUGGGUCUCUUGAAUAUUCUCUACUCUUAAUAGAACCUGAAACUCUGACUUUAUAU